rnacentral:RNase_P_RNA from 1 species
CGAGAAGCUGGGGCAGUCGCUCCGCGGAGCCUCCAUUUUUGGGGACGAUCGCGGGGAGGAAAGUCCGGGCUCCAUGGGCGAAGGUGGUUGUUAACGGCAACCGGUCGUGAGGCCAGGGAAAGUGCAACAGAGAGGAGACCGCCGAUCACGCUCCGAAAGGGGCGCAGAGGCAAGGGUGAAACGGUGCGGUAAGAGCGCACCAGCGCUCCCGGUGACGGGAGCGGCUUGGUAAACCCCACCUGGAGAAAGACCAAAUAGGGAAGGGCAUGUGGCGCCAGCCUGCGUCCAGUUUCCUUUCGGGUUGGUCGUUCGAGGCCGGCGGCGACGUCGGUCCCAGAGAAAUGACUGUCGCGUCGCUCCCUCGGGAACGGCGUACAGGACCCGGCUUACAAGGCUUCUCGCACC